GGCCGCCUGGCGAAAUGGCAUCGCGUCUGACUACGAUUGUAGGAUUUAAUCCCGCAGGUAUUAUCAGGAGAUUGCAGGUUCGACCCCUGCGGUGGUCA
rnacentral:tRNA from 1 species